GAGAGAGAAUGGGCGCGUGCACCUUUUUAUUUUUUAGAUGAGGGAGAGAAUAUUGAGAGAGAGAAAAGGAGCAUGCCCUUUUUUUUUUUU
rnacentral:tRNA from 1 species